rnacentral:rRNA from 1 species
GUCCCAGACUCCUACGGGAGGCAGCAGUGGGGAAUAUUGCACAAUGGGGGAAACCCUGAUGCAGCGACGCCGCGUGAGUGAAGAAGUAUUUCGGUAUGUAAAGCUCUAUCAGCAGGGAAGAAAAUGACGGUACCUGACUAAGAAGCCCCGGCUAACUACGUGCCAGCAGCCGCGGUAAUACGUAGGGGGCAAGCGUUAUCCGGAUUUACUGGGUGUAAAGGGAGCGUAGACGGUGAUGCAAGUCAGAAGUGAAAGCCCGCGGCUCAACUGCGGGACUGCUCUGGAAACUGCGGCGCUGGAGUACGGGAGGGGCAGGCGGAAUUCCUGGUGUAGCGGUGAAAUGCGUAGAUAUCAGGAGGAACACCGGCGGCGAAGGCGGCCUGCUGGACCGUGACUGACGUUGAGGCUCGAGAGCGUGGGGAGCAAACAGGAUUAGAUACCCUUGUAA